CUAUUUUCAAGAUGUAUUAAUGUAAAUUAACAUCUCCCCAACGUGAAAAAUACAUCUUGAAAAUAGAAGGAUAUUGCUGAUUGGAUAAUAAUUCAUUUGCAAGUGAAAAAGAAGGGUUUUGAUUGAUCAGAAGUUUUUACACAGAUCAGCGGGGAGUAUGAACGAGUACAUGUAGGUGCAAAAGUAUGCUUUCAUAUGAGUGAAAGGAUUGUGUUAUGCAUGUAUGAAGAAUUUUAGAGCAGAAAAUCGGAAAAUCGGUUGAGAAAAAUCAGACAUUCCCUAUACAAACCUAGGGGACAUUCCCUGCAAUAGCACUCUGGUGGGCACACUUUGUGGAUGAGAGCCUGAUGAUGUUUGCAGAUCUCAACCUUUAUCUUGUCUGAAGCAUCUGUUAACGUUUUUAAUUUACCUCGUCACCGCUGUGGACUUGCAGGUUUGUUGAAACUGUUACUGAUUUUAUGAGGUACUUUAAAGCGAAGUAACUUGUUAUGAAGAUGGUUGCAUAGGCGUAUAUUGAUGUGAAUGUGGUGUUUGCUAAUUGUUAAGUGCUGUAGUCACAUGAGGGCGUUAUUCAUGUUGUCCAUGAAUCGCUCGGUACGUUGCCGUGUAGUAAUCUUGGUGUUUUGGACAUGCUAUGCGGACAAGAGAGAUAGUGCCAGGUUUAAUAAUGCAUUCAUUUAUAAAAUGAUAAUGGCUUGCUUGUGAGUUACAGAUAAAUGUAAAUGGGUAGAUAUUUAAUAGUCCAGAUCGAUUAAUAGAGGGAUUAAGUUGCAAUCAGUUAAGCUCCAGUGCCCAUGAAUAUACGUGUAAAGUGGUCGUUCGCGCCACAACCUCGGAUUCCUUCCAAAACUUUUGGACAACUUUGUAGUCGUCAGGUUCAGGGCCUGGAAUGAUCCUGUGGAUUUGCUGAAUUGUACCAGCAGGGUUUGGGGCCCUAGGCUAGGGGCAGAUUGGCUAUAUCGACUUAUACGUUAGUGCUAGGAGCCAGACUAUUCGCUGCUGCUGCUGCUGGCAACUCCACAUCUAGAGCCACAGGAAAGCUGAAACGAACGGUGAGAAAUGGAAACAUCCUUUGAGUUAAGCCUGAAAGGCCGCGACGGGUUGUGUCCAGCACUGGUGGACGGAAAAUGAUGCAACAAAAACGACUUGCCUCAUAAUUAUGCAUUAUAUUGUCGUCACGCUGCCUGAAUUUAAUGUUUCUGGCAAUCAAACAUCACUGCAAAAUAAAGUGCAGAACUUUUUAAGUGUUGAAACCAGUCUCCAUUAACCUGUCGAUAGUGACAUGAACCAAUCUGCCUACGUCCAUUAGCCUGGGGGUCUUGGAACUUUGAAGGACACGAAGAUGAAACAUCCUCUACUUUCCCAUUGGAGAGGGAAAACGGGGGCAUCGGCGCUUACGGGCGGUGACACACACAGUGUGGACAGAUGGAGUCAUCAGCCGCUGUGUAGUGGAUUUUAUCGGCAAUCGGUACGCGCAAUCCUGAUGGUCGCAGUUUUCUUUGUAGUGGGCUCGGUGUUGAUCAUGAUGAGCCAUCCUGGGUACUUCAAGGAGAGCAUUGUAAAGGUAGAAAACAAGUGUUUUGUAUUCGUGCUUAGUAAAUGUAAAUAAAAACUUUCCUGCACCAAGUUGGCAGGAUUUUUCCUGUUUGAAAAUGUACAAAUCGCAUCCUUCUUCAGCAAUAGAACCAGCAUGCACCAAUGGCAUAUCAUGUGCAUCUAUUGGCACUGUUGUGCAAAAUAGAUCUGUAAGUGAAAGGAAAAUAAACUGUUCGUUUUUAAGGCAUUGAGACCAGCUACCAUCCUAAACAAACUUGUUGGGACACGUGUCAAUAGCCAUACCCUUUCCAGGUCCCCCACUCUUCCGGUCAAUGUUGUCAUGUCGAGCUGGAGCGCAGAUUGCGCAUUGAGAUCCAACAUUGAGAGGGGGCCAGGGGGUGGAGGGCCCGACAAGAUUUGGCCAGGAUUGUCUGAACUGGUUCAUAGUUGUGAGUGUGGGUUUGCGUGUGCGUUCCGACGUUGUUCUUGGAAAGCAUAAAAUGACAGCCACCGGUUGAAUAGAAGAUAUUUUUGCACAAAUUGUACAAGU